rnacentral:lncRNA from 1 species
GUAGAGUUUCCAAAAUGCGGGCAUUCUCUAUACAAUUUUGCUACGUUGGCUAUAACUUAGGAAUCCAGGUCACAUUUUGUUUCUGGAAUCCAGGUCACACUUUGUCCCUUCAAAAGUUGUUGGUAAACUCUUCCCUCCCACUCCUCUGAUUCAUAGCAUUUUGUCCGUCACACUGCUUUACAGGUCAGAUGCACGUAAUUCCUUCAUUUUUGAAAGGAACUGAACAAAAAUGCCUUGCACAACGUUUGUCUACUCUUCAGUUAUGGAGUGACUCUGUACAACAUCUCUUCUGUUUGCCCAGCACCACGUUUAUGACAUGUUGUUCUGUUAAUAGAAGUGCAAACAUGAAAUGAGAAAUCAAUUAAAGAAACAAGG